CAGCAGCCGCGGUAAUACGUAGGUCCCGAGCGUUGUCCGGAUUUAUUGGGCGUAAAGCGAGCGCAGGCGGUUAGAUAAGUCUGAAGUUAAAGGCUGUGGCUUAACCAUAGUACGCUUUGGGAACUGUUUAACUUGAGUGCAAGAGGGGAGAGUGGAAUUCCAUGUGUAGCGGUGAAAUGCGUAGAUAUAUGGAGGAACACCGGUGGCGAAAGCGGCUCUCUGGCUUGUAACUGACGCUGAGGCUCGAAAGCGUGGGGAGCAAACAGGAUUAGAUACCCCCGUAGUCCCUGUCUCUUAUACA
rnacentral:rRNA from 1 species